rnacentral:rRNA from 1 species
CGCGUAGGCGGCCUGACCAGUCGGAUGUGAAAGCCCCGGGCUUAACCUGGGAAUUGCAUUCGAUACUGUCAGGCUGGAGUGUAGUAGAGGGAAGCGGAAUUCCGGGUGUAGCGGUGAAAUGCGUAGAGAUCCGGAGGAACAUCAGUGGCGAAGGCGGCUUCCUGGACUAACACUGACGCUGAGGUGCGAAAGCGUGGGGAGCAAACA